rnacentral:rRNA from 1 species
CCUACGGGAGGCAGCAGUAGGGAAUCUUCCGCAAUGGACGAAAGUCUGACGGAGCAACGCCGCGUGAGUGAUGAAGGUUUUCGGAUCGUAAAACUCUGUUGUUAGGGAAGAACAAGUGCUAGUUGAAUAAGCUGGCACCUUGGCGGUACCUAACCAGAAAGCCACGGCUAACUACGUGCCAGCAGCCGCGGUAAUACGUAGGUGGCAAGCGUUAUCCGGAAUUAUUGGGCGUAAAGCGCGCGCAGGUGGUUUCUCAAGUCUGAUGUGAAAGCCCACGGCUCAACCGUGGAGGGUCAUUGGAAACUGGGAGACUUGAGUGCAGAAGAGGAAAGUGGAAUUCCAUGUGUAGCGGUGAAAUGCGUAGAGAUAUGGAGGAACACCAAUGGCGAAGGCGACUUUCUGGUCUGUAACUGACACUGAGGCGCGAAAGCGUGGGGAGCAAACAGGAUUAGAUACCCUGGUAGUCCACGCCGUAAACGAUGAGUGCUAAGUGUUAGAGGGUUUCCGCCCUUUAGUGCUGAAGUUAAUGCAUUAAGCACUCCGCCUGGGGAGUACGGCCGCAAGGCUGAAACUCAAAGGAAUUGACGGA